rnacentral:lncRNA from 10 species
GAACAACCUAGGGACCUGGCAAGGAAAGACUAGGCCAGACCUUAGCACCCCCUGUCAGGGACUUCCUGCUGGUUAAUCCUGCUUCCUCUGCCAGCAGGAAGUCAGCUAGCAAAGAAGCCCCAAUGAUAUAGUCUACAGCAGGCAGCCUGCCAGGGUGCAGAGCAGGGUAGAAAAUGGAUCGGAAGGGCAAAGGUGAGGUAGAGUUGGGAGACUUACCUGAGGUCACAUAGUCAGCUUCACCUGAUUGUCAGGAAAGUAACCCUGUGAACCCUAGCUGGGGAGAAGAACCUAAAGGCAAGAGAGAGAACCGUUCUAUAGGACCCGGGAGGAUUUGCCAUCAUCUGAAGGAAGGAUGAGAAAACUGAAAUUUGGAGCAACAUACCCAGUACAUGCAGUGGAUGAGUAACAGUGAUAUGGUUUGGCUGUGUCCCCACCCAAAUCUCAACUUGAAUUGUAUCUCCCAGAAUUCCCACGUGUUGUGGGAGGGACCCAGAGGGAGGUAAUUGAAUCAUGGAGGCUGAUCUUUCCCAUGAUAGUGAAUAAAUCUCACAAGAUCUGAUGGGUUU